rnacentral:rRNA from 1 species
UGGGGAAUAUUGGACAAUGGGCGAAAGCCUGAUCCAGCCAUGCCGCGUGUGUGAAGAAGGUCUUCGGAUUGUAAAGCACUUUAAGUUGGGAGGAAGGGCAGUUACCUAAUACGUAUCUGUUUUGACGUUACCGACAGAAUAAGCACCGGCUAACUCUGUGCCAGCAGCCGCGGUAAUACAGAGGGUGCAAGCGUUAAUCGGAAUUACUGGGCGUAAAGCGCGCGUAGGUGGUUUGUUAAGUUGGAUGUGAAAUCCCCGGGCUCAACCUGGGAACUGCAUUCAAAACUGACAAGCUAGAGUAUGGUAGAGGGUGGUGGAAUUUCCUGUGUAGCGGUGAAAUGCGUAGAUAUAGGAAGGAACACCAGUGGCGAAGGCGACCACCUGGACUGAUACUGACACUGAGGUGCGAAAGCGUGGGGAGCAAACAGGAUUAGAUACCCUUGUAGUCCCUGAGCGGGCUGGCAAGGCGCAU